rnacentral:rRNA from 1 species
AUUGAACGCUGGCGGCAGGCCUAACACAUGCAAGUCGAACGGUAACAGGAAGACGCUUGCUUCUUUGCUUACGAGUGUCGGACGUGUGAGGAAUGUCGGUGAAACUGCCUGAUGGAGGGGGAUAACUACUGGAAACGGUAGCUAAUACCGCAUAACGUCGACAGCACAAAGAGAGGGAACUUCGGGCCUCUUGCCAUCGGAUGUGCCCAGAUGGGAUUAGCUAGUAGGUGGGGUAACGGCUCACCUAGGCGACGACCCCUAGCUGGUCUGAGAGGAUGACCAGCCACACUGGAACUGAGACACGGUCCAGACUCCUACGGGAGGCAGCAGUGGGGAAUAUUGCACAAUGGGCGAAAGCCUGAUGCAGCCAUGCCGCGUGUAUGAAGAAGGCCUUCGGGUUGUAAAGUACUUUCAGCGGGGAGGAAGGGAGUAAAGUUAAUACCUUUGCUCAUUGACGUUACCCGCAGAAGAAGCACCGGCUAACUCCGUG